CACAGUACUGACAAACUGUCUGGCAUGAUCCCCACGCCUGAAUAGUUUCUUUUUAAACGCUGUGAGACGAAUGAUAGCGUCGGCUAAGCUAUGUUAUGCGAAUGUAAAUCAAACACUAUUCUGUGUAACACGCAGCCUCGUUACAAU
rnacentral:snoRNA from 1 species